rnacentral:rRNA from 1 species
AUUGAACGCUGGCGGCAUGCCUUACACAUGCAAGUCGAACGGCAGCACGGGAGCAAUCCUGGUGGCGAGUGGCGAACGGGUGAGUAAUAUAUCGGGACGUGCCCGGUCGUGGGGGAUAACGUAGCGAAAGCUACGCUAAUACCGCAUACGAUCUACGGAUGAAAGCGGGGGAUCGCAAGACCUCGCGCGAUUGGAGCGGCCGAUAUCAGAUUAGGUAGUUGGUGAGGUAAAGGCUCACCAAGCCGACGAUCUGUAGCUGGUCUGAGAGGACGACCAGCCACACUGGGACUGAGACACGGCCCAGACUCCUACGGGAGGCAGCAGUGGGGAAUUUUGGACAAUGGGCGCAAGCCUGAUCCAGCAAUGCCGCGUGCAGGAUGAAGGCCUUCGGUUGUAACUAGCUUUGUUACGGUAACGGAAACGGUA